rnacentral:rRNA from 1 species
UUCGCCCUUAGAGUUUGAUCCUGGCUCAGGACGAACGCUGGCGGCGCGCCUAACACAUGCAAGUCGAACGAGCGAGAGAGAGCUUGCUUUCUCGAGCGAGUGGCGAACGGGUGAGUAACGCGUGAGGAACCUGCCUCAAAGAGGGGGACAACAGUUGGAAACGACUGCUAAUACCGCAUAAGCCCCACAGGUCGGCAUCGACCAGAGGGAAAAGGAGCAAUCCGCUUUGAGAUGGCCUCGCGUCCGAUUAGCUAGUUGGUGAGGUAACGGCCCACCAAGGCAACGAUCGGUAGCCGGACUGAGAGGUUGAACGGCCACAUUGGGACUGAGACACGGCCCAGACUCCUACGGGAGGCAGCAGUGGGGAAUAUUGCACAAUGGGGGAAACCCUGAUGCAGCGACGCCGCGUGGAGGAAGAAGGUCUUCGGAUUGUAAACUCCUGUUGUUGAGGAAGAUAAUGACGGUACUCAACAAGGAAGUGACGGCUAACUACGUGCCAGCAGCCGCGGUAAAACGUAGGUCACAAGCGUUGUCCGGAAUUACUGGGUGUAAAGGGAGCGCAGGCGGGAAGACAAGUUGGAAGUGAAAUCUAUGGGCUCAACCCAUAAACUGCUUUCAAAACUGUUUUUCUUGAGUAGUGCAGAGGUAGGCGGAAUUCCCGGUGUAGCGGUGGAAUGCGUAGAUAUCGGGAGGAACACCAGUGGCGAAGGCGGCCUACUGGGCACCAACUGACGCUGAGGCUCGAAAGUGUGGGUAGCAAACAGGAUUAGAUACCCUGGUAGUCCACACCGUAAACGAUGAUUACUAGGUGUUGGAGGAUUGACCCCUUUCAGUGCCGCAGUUAACACAAUAAGUAAUCCACCUGGGGAGUACGACCGCAAGGUUGAAACUCAAAGGAAUUGACGGGGGCCCGCACAAGCAGUGGAGUAUGUGGUUUAAUUCGACGCAACGCGAAGAACCUUACCAAGUCUUGACAUCCUGCGACGCACAUAGAAAUAUGUGUUUCCUUCGGGACGCAGAGACAGGUGGUGCAUGGUUGUCGUCAGCUCGUGUCGUGAGAUGUUGGGUUAAGUCCCGCAACGAGCGCAACCCUUACUGUCAGUUACUACGCAAGAGGACUCUGGCAGGACUGCCGUUGACAAAACGGAGGAAGGUGGGGAUGACGUCAAAUCAUCAUGCCCUUUAUGACUUGGGCUACACACGUACUACAAUGGCGUUAAACAAAGAGAAGCAAGACCGCGAGGUGGAGCAAAACUCAGAAACAACGUCCCAGUUCGGACUGCAGGCUGCAACUCGCCUGCACGAAGUCGGAAUUGCUAGUAAUCGUGGAUCAGCAUGCCACGGUGAAUACGUUCCCGGGCCUUGCACUCACCGCCCGUCA